GUUAUCCGGAAUUAUUGGGCAUAAAGAGUUCGUAGACGGUUUGUAAAGUUGGAUGUUAAAUUUUUGAGCUCAACGUUAAAGAAAGUAUCCAAAACUGGCAAACUGGAGACUGGUAGAGGUAAGUGGAAUUCUGCAUGUAGGGGUAAUAUCCGUAGAUAUGCAGAGGAACACCAAAAGCGAAGGCAGCUUACUGGACCAGUUCUGACGCUCAAGAACGAGAGCGUGGGUAGCGAACGGGAUUAGAUACCCCGGUAGUCCACGCCCUAAACGAUGAACACUAGGUAUUGGAGGUCUCGACCCCUUCAGUGCCGACGCAAAUGCAAUAAGUGUUCCGCCUGGGUAGUACGAGCGCAAGCUUAAAACUCAAAGGAAUAGACGGGGACCCACACAAGCGGUGGAGCAUCUGGUUUAAUUCGACAAUAAGCGAGGAACCUUACCAAGGCUUGACAUCCCGAGAAGAUCGCCGAAAGGUGAUUGUGCCGUUAGGAACUCGGUGACAGGUGCUGCAUGGUUGUCGUCAGCUCGUGCCUUGAGGUGUUCGGUUAAGUCCGUGAACGAGCGCAACCCUUGUCUCAAGUUGCAUAUUUCUUGAGAGACUGCCGGUUUCAAAUCGGAGGAAGGUAAGGAUGACGUCAAAUCAGCAUGGCCCUUAUGUCUUGGGCGACACAGGUGCUACAAUGGCCGGUACAAUGGGCAGCGAAGGAGCAAUCUGGAGCAAAUCCUCAAAACCGGUCCAAGUUCGAAUUGAAGGCUGCAACUCGCCUUCAUGAAGUUGGAAUCGCUAGUAACCGCAUAUCAGCCAUGGUGCGGUGAAUCCGUUCCUGGGUCUUGUACUCACCGCCCGUCAAGUCAUGAAAGAUGGGGGUGCCCGAAGUACCCUUAGCUAAUUUAGCGGGGUCAUAAGGCAAAACCAUUGA
rnacentral:rRNA from 1 species